AGAGCGGACGCUGGCGGCAGGCUUAACACAUGCAAGUCGAGCGGGCGUAGCAAUACGUCAGCGGCAGACGGGUGAGUAACGCGUGGGAACAUACCUUUUGGUUCGGAACAACACAGGGAAACUUGUGCUAAUACCGGAUAAGCCCUUACGGGGAAAGAUUUAUCGCCGAAAGAUUGGCCCGCGUCUGAUUAGCUAGUUGGUGAGGUAACGGCUCACCAAGGCGACGAUCAGUAGCUGGUCUGAGAGGAUGAUCAGCCACAUUGGGACUGAGACACGGCCCAAACUCCUACGGGAGGCAGCAGUGGGGAAUAUUGGACAAUGGGCGCAAGCCUGAUCCAGCCAUGCCGCGUGAGUGAUGAAGGCCCUAGGGUUGUAAAGCUCUUUUGUGCGGGAAGAUAAUGACGGUACCGCAAGAAUAAGCCCCGGCUAACUUCGUGCUAGCAGCCGC
rnacentral:rRNA from 1 species